GCAGAUUUAAGAGCAUUGUUAUCAAGCAGUGAUUUCAUUACCACUGAUGGCUGGGUUAAUCUAGUUCAGAGGGGAGUUGUGGCAUGGUGGAGGACUAUCACCACUCCAAAAUCUUGCUUGUGCAAGGUCUGUGGGGUCCUGGACUUAGUCAUGCAAGCAAGGAUGCAGGAGCUGGAAGCAUAACUUUGAUAAUGUUAUGGUAACUACAGUCACCAUUACCAGCCGCAGGCACUGAUAGCUGCAUCUCAUGCCCUCGUCUAAUGAUUCCUGCAUAUAGAAGAUAAGGCGGCUGUGCAAGUCUGUAACUCGGCUGAGAGAGAUGCAUACUCCAGAUGCUGAACAACCCCUGCUUAUGACUCAUGGUAGUGGAGGUGGGGAGCAAAGGGCGUUGCUGCAAACAACAUUUAGACUCCAGAAGAAAAGUUGCCUAAAACAAUGGAGCUGAGAAGGGAGGCACUCCUACUCUGCAUGUAGAAACGACCCUGCAGGGUGGGGAAGAAGAGGUACUAAUAUUUCUUUAAAGAGAUUUUGGGUCAAAACCUCAGUGCCACAUUGUCCCCACAUCUGUAAAAUGAGAAUCUAAAAAUCCUGAGGGGUUGUGAGGAUGAAACUCCUUUUUAUUAUUUCUAAAAUCUUUUGGAUCCGGAUCCUCAAAGUUGAUUUAGCUGCCCAGCCAGGCCCUCCUUAAAUGCCUUUGAAUUGGCAUAAUGCCUCCAUGGCUGAAACCUGAGAUGCAAAUUAUUAUUCUUUAGUUGGGAGUAUUGCCAGAUGCUUAAUUUGAAAUGCCUUUAAAGUGUUUUUUUUUGGGGGGGGGGUCCCCUUAAAACCCCAGCUCCUGGAAUCAGGUUAUUUAAGAAUCUCUGUUGCCAUUAAAACAAAAGUAUGUUUCUAGCCUUUAGGGUUGUGGAGAAAAGUUUGUAAAUGUGAACC